GAUAACGCUGAGAUGGAAAGAGUACGCAAUUUUACUUUUCAACAGAGAAAAUCUGCAGCUGCUGAAAGCGGAUUUGUCAAGUGUUUUGCUGAAGUUCACUCCGGAGCGGUGCGGCUGAUAAGGCUGCAACGGGUUGAUACCGUUACCUAUCACAAGAGUGUCAGCUUUUGCUUUUAUUAGGGUGGUACCGCGGAGAUGUGUCUUCGUCCCUUCU
rnacentral:ncRNA from 1 species